rnacentral:tRNA from 1 species
AUUAAAGUGGCAGAAGUUGAAUGCAAGGAAUUUAAGCUUCCUUAAUGAUUUUAUCCUUUAAUAA